rnacentral:rRNA from 1 species
AUUGAACGCUGGCGGCAUGCCUUACACAUGCAAGUCGAACGGCAGCACGGGAGCAAUCCUGGUGGCGAGUGGCGAACGGGUGAGUAAUAUAUCAGAACGUGCCCAGUCGUGGGGGAUAACGCAGCGAAAGCUGUGCUAAUACCGCAUACGAUCUACGGAUGAAAGCGGGGGAUCGCAAGACCUCGCGCGAUUGGAGCGGCCGAUAUCAGAUUAGCUAGUUGGUGAGGUAAAGGCUCACCAAGGCGACGAUCUGUAGCUGGUCUGAGAGGACGACCAGCCACACUGGAACUGAGACACGGUCCAGACACCUACGGGAGGCAGCAGUGGGGAAUUUUGGACAAUGGGCGAAAGCCUGAUCCAGCAAUGCCGCGUGCAGGAUGAAGGCCUUCGGGUUGCAAACUGCUUUUGUACGGAACGAAACGGUGAGCUCUAAUACAGUUUGCUAAUGACGGUACCGUAAGAAUAAGCACCGGCUAACUACGUGCCAGCCGCCGCCGUAA